rnacentral:rRNA from 1 species
AGCGAACGCUGGCGGCAGGCCUAACACAUGCAAGUCGAACGAACUCUUCGUACUUUUUUGCGGACGGGUGAGUAACACGUGGUAACUUGCCUUUUGGUUCGGUAUAACUCAGUUAAACUUGUCCUAAUACCGAUUGUGCCCUUCGGGGGUAAGAUUUAUGGCCAUUUGAGCGGCCCGCGUCUGAUUAGCUAGUUGGUGAGGUAACCGCUCACCAAGGCGAGGAUCAGUAGCUGGUCUGAGAGGAAGACAAGCCACAAUGGGACUGAGACACGGACCAGACUGCUACGGGAGGGAGGAGAGGGGAAUAUAGCGGAAGGAGGGAAAGAGUGACGAAGCCAUGCCGGGUGAAAGAUGAAGGGGUUAGGAUAGUAAAAUUGUUUGAGCGGGGACGAGAAUGACGGUAACGGGAGAAGAAGCACCGGCUAACUACGUG